CCCAUUUUUGCUAUUAUCUUCCCUUGUUGCAACGAACAGACUACAAGCUCCUUUUUUCCAUUUGAUUACUGGCUUUGGAUCAAGCAUAGUUGUAGUUGAAACAGGUCCGAAUAGGUCUCUCUGUUGGCGUCACCUCCGCACAAAGGUCCGCCACAGAGGAAGGAGGAAAUACACACAAGGCCGCAACCAUGCUUCACCGGCAAUCUUCUUGCUUUCAAUUCCAUCAACCUCUGAUCUCGUCCAAUACUCUGAAUUCCAUUUCAGCAUUAGUUCGAGCCUGCAAAGUCUUCCUUUUGACACUUGCAACUUUCCUUUCAUCUCUUUUGAUGAUUCUUGCUAAUUCCUUUGGAGGUCUCACACACCAUUGUCGCCCUAAAGCUCCCGAAGAAGCCAUUUCUGCCAUUUUAUGUGCCAGGUCAUUACCCUCCCUUGGAGUCCAGAUUUUUUGAUAGAAUCAUGGCGUCCCUCAUGGCAUGAGCUUCAGCAGCUAAUGGAGAUUCUUCAGACAAAAGGAAAUGAAAGAAAGAAAAAAAAAAAGAAGAAGAAGAAAGAAAGGAAAGGGGGAGGAAGAAAGGGAGAUCUGAGAAAGAAGGAAAGGGGGAGGAAGAGAGGGAGAUCCAAGGGUGAGAGCGCGCCGGUGGAAGGGCGCCGGAGCUGCUAGGCCACGCCGUCGGGUCGCCUUGGCUGCCGUUGGGAGUAGAGACGCAUGCAGAGGAGAAUCCACCACUGCCUCACUUUCAUCGUCAUCCUCGCCAGGAAGCAUGUCGCCGCUGCUGUCCGUCCGUCCAGCCCGAGUCGUCGCCGUCGUUGCUGGUCCGCCUUGGAGCCGCCGUCGUCACUAUUGAAGCCGAGGAGAGAGAGACGCGGUGAGAGGAGGGUCACACCCAGUGUCGUUGCCGCCUUUCUUCCGCCAUCACCGAAGCUACUGGGCUCGCCGUCGAUGCACCCAUGUUGCUGCUGUGUCGCCGGAGCUUCACGCCGCUGUACUGGCCACCGGAGAACGCAGAUGAGGCCUCUGUCUUCUUGGGUUUUGAUUGUUGCUAAUUACUCGAUUGUACGCCGUUUUCGGAAUCAGGCCAGAUUUACCGAAUGGUGUUAUUGCCACUAGAACAGAUGCACAGGUCCCUGAUUCUCUUCUUUGUUGCCCCAUCAUUCUAUUUUCUAUAGCUGCAUUUCUUUAUCAAACGAUGCAUCUAUGUUAAUUUUCAUCCAACCAUCCGAUGGUGGCCUCCAGCCCAACAAUGUUGCUUAAGUAUUCCUUUAAUGCUUCAAUUCGAUGCACAAGUCCAAAGUCUUUAAACAAGCACCGAUCAGCAAAAAGGUGCAAAGGAAGAAGGCUCUGCAUUUGCAAAGUGAUAAAGGGACAUUUGUCUUCAUCAUGGAAAAAGGAAGACAUAUGAAACAAAAGGAAAUUAACGAAGCAACAAGACACAAGGACAUUUGGCACUAUUAUAGGACAGCUGUGACUCUAGAAAGGAAAAAAAAAACACAAAAAAUAUCACUACUCCAAGGACAACUCAGAAUCAAAAUUCAGAAGAUCAUUAGCAAGUUUGGAAGAGCAAAACAAAAAUACAUAGUUAUGGACAGCAAUUGGAAUGGCUCAAAAAUGGAAGUGCUAUGUAUGCCAAAGAAGACAGCAGAUCUAAGUACAACAGAGUUGGUGGAGCAACUCCUCCAACAAGUAGCAUUAGUGGAGUAGAAUGGAAAAAGGACGGCAUGCCAAUGGACAUAGCUCCAACGGGUUGAUGGUACAAGGAAUUGGAAGAGGAAAAUUGGAGAGCAAGCUGAAAAUAUAAAACAGACCUCACUUCAACAUUUGAAAUCAAGAAAAAUAGAGUGAUACAAGAGCAUCAUCUCAAAACACUUGAGCUGAAAUCAUUCUCCUUCAAUUUGUGCUUCAUUUCAAAUUUUCUUUGGUAUGGCUAUCUAAUGUCAUCUUUCUGUAUUUGAGGAAAAGGCUUGAGAAUGUGAGUUGAAAAAGUCAUAAGAGAAGAGGCAAGAGAGAUGCAUGAAAAAGCCAAAUGAGUUCUUUCUGUGAACUAAGGUUUAGUUCCCCUUACCAAGUUGGGAUAGUACUUGGUGGUAAAUUGAAUCUGCGGAUUUCCCUUGCCAAGUUGGGAUAGCACUUGGUGUUUCUGAAUCUGGCUAGGUUCUCCUUCUAAGUUGGGGCAACACUUGGGUUGCUAGGCUUUGGGGUAAAAAGCUUAGUGGAAGAUACUAGAUGAAUUGGAUUGUAAUUCAUUAGUAUUGGUGUUUGUAAUCUGUUUGAUUAUAGUAAAAAUUCCAUCAUGGUUGUGGUGGAGACUA